UACGGGGGGGGCAAGCGUUGUUCGGAAUUACUGGGCGUAAAGGGCUCGUAGGUGGCCAACUAAGUCAGACGUGAAAUCCCUCAGCUUAACUGGGGAACUGCGUCUGAUACUGGAUGGCUUGAGUUUGGGAGAGGGAUGCGGAAUUCCAGGUGUAACGGUGAAAUGCGUAGAUAUCUGGAGGAACACCGGUGGCGAAGGCGGCAUCCUGGACCAACACUGACACUGAUGAGCGAAAGCCAGGGGAGCAAACGGG
rnacentral:rRNA from 1 species